ACAUCAGCCUGCAUUUAUACACAAAACUUACCAGGUAUUUAAGAUGAAAGGUAUUUGCAAGUUCAAAGAUACAUUCUGGAAAUUAUAUGGUCUCGGAGAAUAAUAAUAAUAGUAGUGUUAAUAAUAAUGCCUAUGUGUAUGGUGGGACAUGCAUUUAUCUUCAUUUUAUGCUUUAUUGGCAUUUUGCUAUGCACACAUUUUAAAAUGAAUAGCUAAGCAAGGUCAAAUGCAGCAAAUGAGAUAAUCAAGACAGUAAAUUGAAGACAGGAUGACCUUUUGGAAGGUUCAUCAAUGAUUUACAUCCAGCAAUUUGUACUCUUUUUGGCCUAAUUCUAUAUCUUGCCUUGUUCAGCAAUGUCGUCAUCAGUACCAUCAAGGAAGAAGCCAGCCAACUGUGGCCGGCAUUGCUGAAAAAGCAUGAGAUCCAAAACAUUCUUUCCCUGCUGGGACAAAACAUUUUCAGAGGCAUUCUUUCCUCCAAUAUGGGCUUGUCACCUAACUUGAAUUGCAAGGCCUUGGAGCUAAGCUGGAACCAAUUUAAAAGAACAAUAGUCUGUGACAGCUAUUAAGGCUUAAAAUGUCUGUGGAUUUUUAGAAGCACCCCUAAAGGAAAUAGAUAGAAGAGAGUGAAUAUUCAACAGGAUUAAAAUGUGGACUCCUUUAUCUGGACAGCAUCCUAAAUUGAAAGUGUUCUCAGGGUGGCAAGGUUAAUGAGUGUUAUCUACAGGAAGCAAUCUAAGAGCCUAUUUAACUUCAACAUCAUGUGGAGAUGAGCCCUGACCUAGUAAGUUAAUAAAUAGGGGUUUCCACAUACACAAGACAGAAGCCAAGCACGUAAUUAGCAGCCCUUUCCAUUUGAAUAAGCUGAUACAGUCUGAAAACAUUUCAUUCCACAAAAAAGGGGAAAAAUGAAGACAAAAAGAGUCCACAGAGUUCCAUCAAGCUAUUAAGAAAUACUUUAAUAACAUUUUCUCCUGUGUUUUGAGAAUGGUUGUAAAAUCAAAUAUAGGGGAUUUUAUUCCCCUGUAAUUGCCUUGAUAUAAUUCUUGCCUGUAUAAAAAAGAAAGAGUAUGUGUGUCAACAGAAUUCAAACUAUAAUGCAGGAAUACUUGCCCACUGACUAGGGAUCAGGGAUGUCAUAUGGUUUUCUUAGGAAUACUCAAAGUUAGUUUACCAUUACCUUCCUUUGAAUCUUGGCAGUCUUCCAUCCAAGUUCUAACCAGGGAUCAACCAGUUUAGCUUGCUAAAUCAAACACAAUCUGAUGUCUUCAUAGUAUCUAGGCCCCUCUACUGACAGUAUCUGAUAUUGAUUCCUGAUGUUUAUUUUUGCAGUCAUAGACCUUUGUAAGGCUACAAAU
rnacentral:lncRNA from 1 species